GGGGGGUCCUGGGUUUGGGAAGCACAGGGUCCCCCCCACUUCGCCCGCAGUUUUCCGGGGGGACCCGGAGUGGAGGAGCUCUGUAUUUUGACUCAAGCCCUCCUUUCUGCUGACAGACCGAACCGCCGGAACCCCUUGUCAUAAGGGAGCGUUUUGAAAAAACAAAACAAAAAAGCCUUAAUUACAGGCUCCGGCGAGCAGCUGCCGGUGCCAGUCGGCAGCCCGGAGGGCUCCGGGGGAAGCGGCCGGUCCAGGUGCUUUCAGAGCCUCCGCGCCGCUCGGGAACUGUGGACAAUCGUCAGUCAGUCUUGGCUUGAAAAAGGCUGAGAUGUGUGUGACCCGGUGGUGAAAUUUCCUUUGGGGAAUCUGGAUUUCAAAAUAAAAACAUUUCACCCAUUU